rnacentral:rRNA from 1 species
GACGAACGCUGGCGGCGUGCCUAAUACAUGCAAGUCGAGCGGAACUGGGGGAGCUUGCUCCUUCCAGUUUAGCGGCGGACGGGUGAGUAACACGUGGGCAACCUGCCCUGCAGAUCGGGAUAACUCCGGGAAACCGGUGCUAAUACCGAAUAGUUUGGCGCCUCUCCUGAGGCGCUACGGAAAGACGGUUUCGGCUGUCACUGCAGGAUGGGCCCGCGGCGCAUUAGCUAGUUGGUGGGGUAACGGCCCACCAAGGCGACGAUGCGUAGCCGACCUGAGAGGGUGGCCGGCCAAACGGGGACUGAGACACGGCCCAGACUCCUACGGGAGGCAGCAGUAGGGAAUCUUCCGUAAUGGACGCAAGUCUGACGGAGCAACGCCGCGUGAGUGACGAAGGUUUUCGGAUCGUAAAACUCUGUUGUGAGGGAAGAACACGUACCUACUAACUAUUGGUACCUUGACGGUACCUCACCAGAAAGCCACGGCUAACUACGUGCCAGCCGCCGCGGUAA